rnacentral:RNase_P_RNA from 1 species
CGACCGGGCUGGACAGCCGCGCGGGCAGCGCCGAAAGGCCGUCCGUGAGGAAAGUCCGGGCUCCACAGGGCAAGGAUAACGGGUAACGCCCGCCGAAGGCAACUUCAGGAAAAGUGCAACAGAGAUAAACCGCCCCGCCGCCCCCAACGGGGCCGGCGCAAAAUUGCCUUUUUGCGCCAGCGGGGUAAGGGUGGAAAGGCGGAGGUAAGAGCCCGCCCGAUGACUGGGAACUGCUCAUCGCUGUAAACUCUAUCCGGAGCAACACCGCAGAGGGGACACAGGCUUGCCCGGCCGUCCCCGAGAAGGUGGCUGGAGCGUACCGGCAACGGUGCGCCUAGAUAGAUGGCUGUCUUAAAUGACAGAACCCGGCUUACAGGCCCGAUCGCAAC